UCAACUAUGGGGUUGUAACAAACACCGCAACAUCAAAAUCAUACAAAUACUCCCAAAAAAAUCAUACGUAGCAUGGUCAAUUCAACUUAGUGGACUUACAAAGGGAUCUUAAGAUCCCAAAGGUCACGGCGGAAAUACAAAGAAUCCAAGAAAAACCAGUCUCGCCUCAGCCAGCACGAGGAUGUUGAAGCGUCCAAACUCCUAUAUAACCGAAACGCCGUCAAAAGAUCAAAAAGAGCAAAGACAUAAGAGGGUUGACAGCGCUAUUUGCAUAGCACAGCCAGUGUGACAUCAUUGACAGGGCGGCUGUCACGUCGUUCUGGGGGAAAAUAGAGCGCAAAUUGUGAAUGAGGCUGAUAUUGAAUUCUGGUAUGGCCACCAUGAAGUCGGGAUUUGAAUCCAAUUGAGCACGUUUGAACCAACUGGAGCGACGUGACCAAGAACCCAGCGUCCAGGUCCCUAACAGAGAAGGAAAAGACUGCUCUCGCAGAAUGGGAAAAUUCCUACGGCUUCAUUAAAAUCCAUCCCUCAGGUAGUCUUUAUUAAAAACUAAACGAGAUAAUCCAAUUCGAUU
rnacentral:lncRNA from 1 species